GACGAACGCUGGCGGCGUGCUUAACACAUGCAAGUCGAACGGAAAGGCCCUGCUUUUGUGGGGUGCUCGAGUGGCGAACGGGUGAGUAACACGUGAGUAACCUGCCCUUGACUUUGGGAUAACUUCAGGAAACUGGGGCUAAUACCGGAUAGGAGCUCCUGACUGCAUGGUGGGGGUUGGAAAGUUUCGGCGGUUGGGGAUGGACUCGCGGCUUAUCAGCUUGUUGGUGGGGUAGUGGCUUACCAAGGCUUUGGCGGGUAGCCGGCCUGAGAGGGUGACCGGCCGCAUUGGGACUGAGAUACGGCCCAG
rnacentral:rRNA from 1 species